GAUGAACGCUGGCGGCGUGCCUAAUACAUGCAAGUCGAGCGAACAGAUGAGGAGCUUGCUCCUCUGACGUUAGCGGCGGACGGGUGAGUAACACGUGGAUAACCUACCUAUAAGACUGGGAUAACUUCGGGAAACCGGAGCUAAUACCGGAUAAUAUAUUGAACCGCAUGGUUCAAUAGUGAAAGACGGUUUUGCUGUCACUUAUAGAUGGAUCCGCGCCGCAUUAGCUAGUUGGUAAGGUAACGGCUUACCAAGGCAACGAUGCUUAGCCGACCUGAGAGGGGGAUCGGCCACACUGGAACUGAGACACGGUCCAGACUCCUACGGGAGGCAGCAGUAGGGAAUCUUCCGCAAUGGGCGAAAGCCUGACGGAGCAACGCCGGGUGAGUGAUGAAGGUCUUCGGAUCGUAAAACUCUGUUAUGAGGGAAGAACAAAUGUGUAAGUAACGAUGCACGUCUGGACGGUACCUAAGCAGAAAGCCACGGCAAACUACGU
rnacentral:rRNA from 1 species